GAUUAUGGCUCAGGAUGAACGCUAGCUACAGGCUUAACACAUGCAAGUCGAGGGGCAGCAUGUUGGUUGCUUGCAACCAAUGAUGGCGACCGGCGCACGGGUGAGUAACGCGUAUCCAACCUUCCGCAUACUCGGGAAUAGCCUUUCGAAAGAAAGAUUAAUGCCCGAUGGUUUCCCGAAUCCGCAUGAGAACGGGAAUAAAGAUUCAUCGGUAUGCGAUGGGGAUGCGUCCCAUUAG
rnacentral:rRNA from 1 species